rnacentral:tRNA from 1 species
CGGGUGUAGUUCAAUGGUAGAACAUCAGCUUCCCAAGCUGACGAUGCACCUCAUCACCUGAA